rnacentral:rRNA from 1 species
GACGAACGCUGGCGGCGUGCCUAAUACAUGCAAGUCGAGCGGAGUGAUUAGAAGUGCUUGCACUUCUAAUCACUCAGCGGCGGACGGGUGAGUAACACGUAGGUAACCUGCCUGUAAGACUGGGAUAACUACCGGAAACGGUAGCUAAUACCGGAUUUUUUGUCUCCUCACCUGAGGAGACACUGAAAGGCGGAGCAAUCUGUCACUUAUAGAUGGGCCUGCGGCGCAUUAGCUAGUUGGUGAGGUAACGGCUCACCAAGGCGACGAUGCGUACCCGACCUGAGAGGGUGAACGGCCACACUGGGACUGAGACACGGCCCACACUCCUACGGGAGGCAGCAGUAGGGAAUCUUCCGCGAUGGACGAAAGUCUGACGGAGCAACGCCGCGUGAGUGAUGAAGGUUUUCGGAUCGUAAAGCUCUGUUGCCAGGGAAGAAUAUUUGGGAGAGUAACUGCUCUCAAAGUGACGGUACCUGAGAAGAAAGCCCCGGCUAACUACGUGCCAGCAGCCGCGGUAAUACGUAGGGGGCAAGCGUUGUCC